UUAUACAAAAUGUGUUAAGUGACUGUCAUCUCAUAAAUGAUGCUUCACGUAUUUUCAAAUAUAGUUUACAGGUUACAUAAUUUGUCUUUUAGAUCCAGGAUGAGUUUCACAGAAUUACAACGGUGCAUCUGGAAUCGAAGUUCAUCUCCAAGCUGGAAGAAUAUUCUCCCAGGCUUCUGAACCUCUUCCACUCAAAGGGUGGGACCAUGGGAUUAAGGUUGCAGACUAUCCUACUGAAGGCUCCUAGCAAUCCUAACAUCAACAUAACCAGAGACAUUGUCAUCCGGUGUCUGAUGUUGUACCUUGGGGAAUCUGCCGAUCAGCCCUUUAAAGAGUAUGAUGUAUGGGUACGGUCUGCUCCUUCUCCCAAGAACAUCUCAAGUCUCCGCUAGGUGCGGAGCCCAUCCCCCCACAUCCUGCCCUCCUCCGCUGCGCU